GCCUUGGGAUGGGGAUGCGUAGGAUUAGGCAGCAGGCGGGUAACGGCCCACCUGGCCCUCGAUCCUUAGGGGUUCUGAGAGGAAGGUCCCCCACACUGGUACUGAGACACGGACCAGACUCCUACGGGAGGCAGCAGUGAGGAAUAUUGGUCAAUGGGCGAGAGCCUGAACCAGCCAAGUAGCGUGCAGGAAGACGGCCCUACGGGUUGUAAACUGCUUUAUGAGGGGAUAACGUGCGCCACGUGUGGUGUAUUGCAGGUACCUCAUGAAUAAGGACCGGCUAAUUCCGUGCC
rnacentral:rRNA from 1 species